AACCACCAGGUGGCCACAGAGUGCAUGUGCUAUGAGGGACCCGUCCGACAUAUACCCUCCCAGAAGAGCAGGAAAGGGGGUUCAUAAAGAUGUUCUUCUGAUGGGGAGUGUCCUAUAAGGCCACCUUCACAUGGACAAACUGGAAACACAGGUUAUAUCACCAAGGCUUUGACUGAAACAUCAUGUUUUCAGAUAUGACCAGAAGGCUUUAGGGGACUAAGGUUGGCUUUAUGGAACCAAUAAAGUACCAUCUUGGAAAAACUGGCUCUAGGGUUCCCAGACUUACAGGUAAGUAAAGAAUGUCACUGCUUGGUGGGUCUG
rnacentral:lncRNA from 1 species